rnacentral:rRNA from 1 species
CGUAGGGUGCGAGCGUUAAUCGGAAUUACUGGGCGUAAAGCGUGCGCAGGCGGUUUGUUAAGAUAGGCGUGAAAUCCCCGGGCUCAACCUGGGAACUGCGCUUAUGACUGGCAAGCUAGAGUACGGCAGAGGGGGUGGAAUUCCACGUGUAGCAGUGAAAUGCGUAGAGAUGUGGAGGAACACCAAUGGCGAAGGCAGCCCCCUGGGUUGAUACUGACGCUCAUGCACGAAAGCGUGGGCAGCAAACAGGAUUAGAUACCCUGGUAGUCCACGCCCUAAACGAUGUCAACUAGGUGUUGGGAGGGUAAAACCUUUUAGUACCGGAGCUAACGCGUGAAGUUGACCGCCUGGGGAGUACGGCCGCAAGGUUA